rnacentral:rRNA from 1 species
GGUUGCGAUCAUACAGCACUAAUGCACCGGAUCCCAUCAGAACUCCGCAGUUAAGCGUGCUUGGGCGAGAGUAGUACUAGGAUGGGUGACCCCCAUGGGAAGGUCCUCGUGUUGCAACCC